ensembl:lncRNA
AGAACAGAUGAGAGUUGAGAGAGGACAAAUGAAAGGAAAAGUGAACAAAGCAGAUGAAUGAGGUGAGAGGAAAGAGGAGAGGAGAAAAGAGUUACCUGUUGUGCCUCAAGAACCAGUUUUGCAUAGACCUGUUCUCUUACCCGUUUUCCACCAAGGCAGAACUGGUGCUAGUUUGGAGCCAGAGACUAGUUUCAAAUCGGUUCUUUGGUUUUCCACCACCAAAGCACCAGCUCCGAACCAGUAAAAGUGGUUCUUAAGUAGCACCAUAUCAUUGCUGGUCUAGAAGUAAGAACCGCUUACGUCAGCGGCUGGGGGCGGGGUUACCGUGACCAACAAGACGAGAGAAACUUUGUGAUCCGCCAUUUUUCGACAGCAGCUGAUCGAGCAAACAACAACGCAAUGGACGCUACUAGGCAAAAACAGCACUGGUCAGACGAGGAAACAAGCUGCUUUCUUGCACUCUGGUCCUCAUCAGAAGUCCAGAGUAAGUUAGAUGGGGCUUCGCGGUCGAAACCGGUUUUGCAGCAGAUUCAGAGAGAGAGAUGGCUGUAGCUGGUUUUGACCGGAGCCUCGUCCAGAUAACAAACUAAAAAAACUAAAGAAAGACUAUAGGGACCAAAAAAAGGACAUCGGUCAAAGCGGCAAUGGGCGCCCUCGGCGAUAGGCCGGCAUGCCAGGUGACCUGGGCGCUGAACUCGGCCACAAUAAUGCUGGAGUCAAUGCUGGAUGAUUCGCCGCAGCAAAGUUGCACUGAUCAUAAACUGUCUGCCAUCAACGACCGUGAAGACAACGCUGAGUUGCCGCCACCGCUGGGCUGCAGCUCUGGAGAAGCAUCUUCAGAAUGGGGAAAAAGGAAGAGAGAUGGUACCUCGGAAAUCCUUCAAUAUCUGGAAAGGGCAGAUGAGAGGUUCCAGCAGCACAGCAAGGCAAUGGAUAAUGCCUUUUCUCAGGACAUGAGCGCGGACACACAAUCCCUGCUUGGACUCAUAGGGCGCAUGGUGGCCGUAUUGGAGGCACAAGUUAAAAAAUAAUUUUGGUUGCCGCUUUUCAUGUCAUUUAAAUUUUUUUUUUUACAAUUGUUGUUACCUACAGAACUUUAUUUUUUUAUAAGAUUUCUGUUUUUUUUUUGUUGGUUUAAAUAAACAUGUUUAGUAAUGCAAAUAUCUGGUCCAGUUUCUUAAACACUUA